GACGAACGCUGGCGGCGUGCUUAACACAUGCAAGUCGAGCGGUAAGGCCCUUUCGGGGGUACACGAGCGGCGAACGGGUGAGUAACACGUGGGUGACCUGCCCUUAGCUCUGGGAUAAGCCUGGGAAACUGGGUCUAAUACCGGAUAUGACUCCAUGACGCAUGUUGUGGGGUGGAAAGCCUUGUGCGGCUAGGGAUGGGCCUGCGGCCUAUCAGCUUGUUGGUGGGGGUGAUGGCCUACCAAGGCGACGACGGGUAGCCGGCCUGAGAGGGCGACCGGCCACACUGGGACUGAGACACGGCCCAGACUCCUACGGGAGGCAGCAGU
rnacentral:rRNA from 1 species